UGUUGGUCUGAUGGUCAAACGCCUGUAAAAUGGGUAUACAGAUAAAAGGACAAUACUUGAACGAUCUAACCUCCCUAGUGAGGAUGCAGGUUCGAUUAACCUUGAUGAGGGGAAGUGUAUACUGAUUUCAUCUAGUUUCCGCGCGCACAGGGGCACAGUCUGAUGACACUUGAGGAGUCAACAGAACAUAGAGGAUGAAUUCACAUUAACAAAAGUUACAAAACCGCAAAGUUCAUCCUAAUUUCUUCAUACAAUCAAGGGUCAACUUAAGAUGGCAUGGAUAUGAAAACCAACACGGGUAUCUCCCAGGAGUGCCUCCAUCACCGGCCCCUAUUUCUCGACCUAUGCCACCUCAUCCUGCCAUGCUGGAGGAAGAACUUGAAUUCCAACGUCAUGAAUUCCGCAGGCUUUUGGGUGAAAAUAAGAGGUAAGCUGAAGACCGAGUUGCUCGACAACGAGAUUUGGGUGACGCCAAAAAGGAACGUAGGCGAAUGAAUAUUGCAAUUGCUGACAUUCAAGAACAAAAUGAAAUGCACUCAAGGAAGCUUAUUGAAAACCGUCUGAAACUAGAAGCUUAUCCUAUUUUCUUGUCGCGAGUUUAUGUUCAUCUCCUAUGCAUAUCUGACUAUCUCAUAUUAGUGGCUCAUAUGGGAUGAAACCAGGGGUGCUGCUAACAAGGGUAUAUGGUUCAAGUUUAUAACGGAGAAACUAUUAACCAGUUUAUAUGGGAAACUUUUGAAGACGAAAAUCAGCGGUGAUCGUCACAUUGUUAAGGCUUGUUCAUAAAGAGUACGCCAUCUCAUGUUGAUCUGUCUGCAGCAGUUCAGACAAUCGUUUUGCAGUCCCGUAUAUCUUAUUUUGGUGCGAUCUUCAGCGUAUAUCUUUAUCUGAUAAUGCUGUAUAGUUGACAUCCUUGCCACCAUCGGAUAAGAGGUGUGCUGGUGGCUAGCUUGAAUAAAGGCUGACAUGGCGUUUGAUGUGGGCUGAGUUCUGAAUCAGGUGAGGAUUGAACGACCACCCUGCAAUAUAAAUCAAAUGUUUGGCACCUUCAAUGGCUACGAAAACAUCCUCCCAAAGGUUUCUUGGUGACCCACAAACAUCCAACGGCGGUUGAAACAUAGGACAGUGAUGAGAAUCUUGAUACAGUGUAACACUGCAGUUAGUCCUUUGUGGAAAUGUAGCAUCUCUCAGCCCAUUGAAUCUGCUGUUGUCGAUUAUUUUUCGCCAACUUGGUUCAAGUUGUGCGGGUUUGAACCAUAACAUGAAUCUAAUUUUCAGUUGUGGAUGUGGCUUCCCGUUUUCCAUGCACACUGGAAACAAACCGUCAAUCAGGUUUGACUUUUCUAACAACUGAUGAGCUUGAAUGUUGACUUUCCCGAGGAUUGAACAUUUUGUCUUGAGGGUGAUCGUUAAUGUUGCGUUUAUAGGAUGAGCACAAAGAACGCGUAAUGUUUGGUUCCAAACGCGCUCACUUUCAUGACUAGUUGAUGCUAUCUUUUUGUUAUCGAUUUUGAUGCUAACGUAUGCAGGUGCUCCCGUUGGAUUUA